rnacentral:misc_RNA from 1 species
UCUUCCACCCUGAGCAGCU